rnacentral:lncRNA from 1 species
UCACGUGACCUUAAUUCCUACUGCUAAAUAAUGCUAAAAUUUGCAUUUCAGGAUCUUGCUUCUGGCUCAGAAAAUGAUAAGAAUGGCUCAGCCUCCCAGCCCAGCCACCAAUCAGACAUAGGGAAGCAGGGCCUUGGCCUCCUGGGCACCUCUCUCCCUGUGCAUGCUGCUGUAAAGGGGAAGGAGGAAGAGAUGAUUCGCUUUAUUUCUAAUGCUGCAUAUAAGAGAAAUUUUACGAACAUUUCUAUCAGAGUAUUAAAAUUUUACACAACUCAAAUUAGCAAAGCUGUCAACCUCACGGGACUAAGAAGGUGUGCCAGGAAGCCCCAGGAAGGAAGGACAGACCAUUCAGUGAAGAGUGGCAUUGACAGCGCCCCCUGGCGGGCCACCAGAAUACUUAUAUGUAUUGUGAUUGAUCGGUACCCAAGCAUCUUUGUUGUUAGAGGCAACACUUUAGGUUAAGAAAGUGCUAGAGGCCUCACAAGAGCAAGGUCCCGAGUUCGAUCUCAGGUACCAAAAAAAGAAGAAGGAGAAGGAGAAGGAAGAAGAGGAAGAGGAAGAAGAAAAAGAAGAAGAAGAAGAAGAAGAAGGUGCUAGAGGGAUUGUCCAAGAAGGAUGCAACCAAGCUAGAAUAAAACAUCUCUGCCCUUUUAACUUCAUAAGAUUGUGUGAGACCGGUGAGAAAAUACAUGCACUCACUGUCUUCUGGAACUAUAAAAUGUCUGUGUAAGAGAAAGCUCUUCUGGAAUGUCCCAGAGGGGUCUCUUAAUGUUCAAUAAAGGAUGAUUCCUCCCCACUACCAUCUAGUUGGGUACAGGGCUAAAAUGAACCCAAAUGGUGUCUUUUCCAAGUUAGAAAGACAUGCCCCAAAGGACUUGAUAGAUACCAAUUUCCAACUAGUACACAAAAGUUUCUCAAGAUCAUUAGUCAUUAAGGAAAUGAAAGUUAAAGCCACCGUGAAAUACUAUUUCAUGUGCAUUAAGAUGGCUUUCAUCAAAAAUAUGGAAAAUAGCUUGUUGUUGAGGAUCUCGAGAAUGCUCACAUAAUGCUAGUAAGAAUGUAAAACAGUGUAACUGCUGAGUAAAACAGCUCAACAGUUCCUCAAUAAAGUAAAACAAGAUGUGUCACCUAAGCCAGCAAUUCCACUCCUAGCUAUAUAUAUCCCCAAAGAAUUGGAAGCAAGUGUUCAAACAAAAAGUUGUACAUGCACAUUCAUAGGGGAACUAUUUACAGCAGUCACAAGUUGGACCAAUUUGCGUUGGUCCAUCAACCAAUGCAUAAUAAAUAAAGCAUAGUAUAGCCAUAUAAAUGAAUAUUAUUUGGCCAUAAAAGGAAAUGGCAUACUAAUAACUGCAGCCAGGUGAAUGAAACUUGAAAAUAUUUUGCUGAGCACAAGAAACCAG